CCUGAGCAGGGCCCCCAGGCCUGAGGCCCAGGAGUGACACCGAUGCCCAAACAGGCUAGCCCUGAGCAGGGCCCCCAGGCCUGAGGCCCAGGAGUGGACCACCUUUCUGACACCCAUUCUCUCUUUCUUUUCUAUCUGGAACUCUGGACACUGCCUGGAGGAAUCGGGCUUGCCCUAGGCCCAGGAAGACGGAAACAAAGAAGAGGCUCACAGACAGGAAGCAACUUGCCUAAAGACACACAGCACAGAUGAGAAAAUCGGUGCCCGCUGUUUCUGAAGACCAGCAACUGCUAGGACAGACUUCAAGGGAACCCGACCUUGCCUGAAGGACCAACAGCGCCCCCUGCAGGACACUUCCCUCCAUGGAGAGACGCCACAGGGGCCGGCCUGAGGCAUUCUGAGCGCGUGGAAUCCUCUAUCACCACCUCCUGGCAAAGAAUGGAGCUGCAACCCAGUUGUAUGAGACACCGAGAAUGAUCCCAACAAAAAGGAACAGUGACCUGAAUGCCUGGGGGAGGAACAGGGAGGGGAUACUAGGUGGAAGGAGGGGACAGGGAGAAGGUGUAACAUUUUGUAAAAAAGAACAUUUUUACUCCUAAUCAAUAUAUAAACAUCAUGCUCAGCAAA